UUUAAAGGCCCACUAUGCAACUUUUUUAGCCAAAAUUACAUUAAGUAUGCAGGUUGAGAGUUAUGCUGAUGGUUCUGCAUCCAUUUCUGGGUCGAUUGGUGGGUGUGUCAUUUACCCAUGUCGCCUCUCCAGUGAAAAAGCGCAUAUGCAACUUGCUCUGUUCGGACUGACACAAUCCGGAUGUGACGCAGCGGAAGUAUCAUCGAAAAUGUAGUCAGAUUGUAGUUUCGAAAAUGCUUUACGGCACAGACACACACCCAAACAUGGCACCGGCUAGAUAUAAACAGCCAGUUGCGAGGCAAUUGUUGCAUUCAUCAUGGAUCAAUCGACUGAUAAGGGACCCAAGAGGCGACCGUCGCUGGAACAAAAGAAGAAUGGACCAGAAAAGAGAUCAGACACGAGUGAAAGGGGAACUAUGCAACUUUUUUGGCUUGAUUUACCUUAAUAUAACAGGCUAAGAGUCAUUGCGAUGGUUCUAUUAUACAUUUUUGUUCGAUUGUUCGUUGUUUCGACUCACCCUUGCGCAUCUUGGCGGAGAAAAGGAAUAUGUUUCUGCCGGCGACCCGCCGCCCACUCUCGCGGGAGUCUUGGGUCUCGCGAAGUAACGAAUUGCUUUACGGCACAGACCCCCAAACACGGAACCGGCUCGAUAUAAACACAAGUCACUAAGGGAUUGUUAUAUUCAUCAUAGAUCAGCCGACUAAAAAGAGACAGAGAAACCCAAUGUCGGAGGAACAGAAGAAGAGAAAAGGGAGACUGACCGGCAGAGAGGCCAGACACGAACUGCAAAUCAGACGCCGACUCGGCCGUGUUGCUUUUGAAAUUGAAAGUACCCUUGGGUGGCCUUUGUCUUCGUGGUAUUCUUGAUGUUGAUAGUCUCUGUACAAAUGUGUUUGCUCAACCAUUUUGUUGUGAGCCCUGUAAAAAUUGUUUUCUCGACCAUUUUGUUGUGAGUCCUGUAUGUUUCUAGCUUGCUUGGUUGCAACCAUAUAAACACCUUUGUUUCCAUGGGUGUUUUGCUGUUCGUCUGUCUCGUCCCCCAGAUACAGACUGAAUCCCCGAAUCCAGGUUCUUGUUUAUUUAGAUUAUUAUGUUGGCCAAACCUCUUACACUGAUUGUUCUGUUCAACCUAAGAUAAAACAAUUAUAAUCUAGGAUAUAAAUUCUCCCCGUCAACUAUAAAAAAGGAUGGAUUUAUGUUUAUUGCAAUACAAAUACACCCUUUUAAAAAUGUAUAACCUUGCCUACACUUUAUGAACAUCUACUUCGGACAUGGCUCCACGCAUUCG